UGAGGGACGUAGACCCCGCUCCACCUCUGGCUUGGCCCACUUAGGUGGCGUCUCUAGAGCGGGGACCCUCGCAUUUCUAAGUGACCCCAAACUUUUGAACGCUAGUGUAUAUUUUAAUAAGUUAGCUGGUGGCCAAACUUGUUAUACCAGCUAUGUGAAUGGUCAAGAUCUUUGUUUGUAGAUAUAGCUACAUCUGCAAAAUUUUCGAUUUGAGGAAAUUAAUGAAAAUCUUAAAGAAUCAGAGUUGAUUUCAACCAUGUGCGUGUUGAGUUCACAAGGCCAAUUAAUUGGGGUGUGACCUAGUGUGAUCAAUUUGAGCCUUGUUUGGUGCAGCAUGUAGCUAGCCAGGAAGUAACGGAGUGCAGUGUAACAUGUUGGUGAAGGUCCAAUACCAAAAAUGCAAGAAGUUCAUGAAGUUGCAACCUUCUCUUAUGGAGAUCAAGCACAAAUACACAUUUUUGAUGAUUCCCAAUUGUGAAUUGUGACCCUCUUUCCUUCGUUGAGAGAUCCGUUUUCCCCCAAAGGCUAUGAACCCUUCUAUGAUCCUGACACGGGCAAAGGAUAUCUGAAUUAUCACCUGAAGACGGCAUCAAGGAAGACUCAUCAAGAAGAGUAUUUCACCCCAGUCGGGAGGCCCAACCCAUAGGAGGAAGACUGACCUGGACCACCAGCUUGUUGGUGAUGCAUGCAAGGAGGCCCUUUCCUUCCUUGUCCACUCGGCCAUUGAAAAACACAUUUAGCAGAUGAUGAAGGAGGUGUUCCAGGAUCGCCAGGAGCCAGUUUAUAGUCCAGACAGAAGCACAGAUGUCCUCACAGUCUUUCCCAGGUUUCUGGACAUCAAAUGAUUGGACUUUUUGCCGACGAUGAAACAUCCUCUAAGCUCCUUGAAAAGUGGGACGCAAUAUUGAAGCCUAAAAGUCAUCAAACUGGCAAAAUCCCUGACUACAACCACCGAUUUGCGUCGCCUCCUGAAGUCUGCAGAAAAACCACAAGAGAAUGACUGCGAAACCAACUGGGACAAUGAUAUGUCCUCCCUGCUGCUGCUGCAUCUCCCACCACCAGCAGGAGGGAAGAGGACCAAGAUCAGUGCCAGUGAUGUUGUGGGUAGACUAGUGCACUUUCAUAAGUCAUGCUGCAGCAUUGAAGAACAUCAUGAUGAGAGCCAUGGUCGACAGCCGUACCUCCUUGCCGUUGGUAGAAGACAGAGUCAGAUUGACAACAUCGUGGUGCCAGGCAACUAGUAGUCUGCGUGUGUUUGAUUAACUACUGUUCAAAGCCCACUUUAACUUGACAUAUGAUGAUGCUCUUGUCAACUUCUACAGAAGAACCUCUGCAGACAACCAUCUACAACAUUGAUAUAUGCAAAACAAGAGGCAUCUAGCAUGAUAGAGUUCAGGACAAAACUUCUUAACCAGAUAAAUGUAUCUUGCGGUGCUUUUGUUGUCAAGUGUUGCACAGAAACAGCCAGUCAUUGAUAUCGAAUUUGAGAAUUAAUCACAGCUUCUAUUCCGCCACCAAGUUUAGAUUGGUCUGUGCUCCAGAUGUUUGAAGACCGCAGUUUUCAACAUACUCAGGUUUCAGAAAACAUUUCAAUAGUAUUCAUAAGGAUAUUGGUCAAGUCGUUAAUGCAUUAAGCUUAGAUGGGCCCUCUCAUGUUGCUGAUUCUCCAGUCCAGUCAGAAGCUCCACAAAUGUCCCACAUGAUAACACUCAAAGUGAUUGUUUUGGGUAGAAUGGACAGAGUCUUGCUAAAGAUAUCUGUGCCUCCAUUAGUGCCAAGUUACAGGCCAGUAUUGUUGCAGAUAGUGUUGUGUCAACAGUAGUGUGUGAUUUAGAAGAGCUUACUAGUGGGCUACACUCCCAAAUUAAACAUGUUCGGUCAGUUAUGCCUAUGGAUAACCCCUCGACAUCUGCUGUAAAGGAUAGUUUUUGAAAACCCAUUUGCCAGUUUUAACACAGAAACCAAGAGAACAAAGUACUUCAACCAAAGAUGGGGUUUUGUGGAGCCAGUAGAAGUAGUGUUGGGAGUUGGAUAUGAUAGUAGGCGGGGAAAAAAGCAGGCAUAUAUGAUCAAGUCCUAGUGAAAGACACUUUUGUAUAUAUUCCUAUACUGGAAACAUUAACAUUCAUGUGUCGCAAUUCUGAAAUCUGUAAGUUAUUGGAAAAUGCACCUAGGGAUACAUCUGUGGAAGACACUUAUUAAGACUUUUGUGAUGGAAGUUACUUUAAGACUCAUCUCUUGUUCCCAAAACAUAUAAAUGCUUUACAGAUCCAAUUGUACUAUGAUGACUUUGAAACUGCCAAUCCACUUGGAUCCAAGUGUGGUGUUCACAAGAUAGGUGCCGUUUAGUUUGUACUCAGUACAAACAUGCACCUCUCCUUUGUUUUUUAUGAGUCAAAGUUAUUUAACAGUAUAUUUAGUGAAUUGCUAACCUAAGGAUGUUGAAAUAAGUCAUGAUAUUAGGAAAAGUGUUUAUUUCCAGUGAGUGUAUUUAAUGGGUUUUGUUUCUGUAGCUAUCUUGGCUGGCCAGCCACUUCGGUAGCUACUGGCUGGCUAGUUUAGACCGAAGAGAUGAGAGAACGAUUUUCAGACUGAAGCACAUACUGUGGGUUCUGACAGUGACACAAUGCCCACCU